rnacentral:rRNA from 1 species
GCCGUAACUAUAACGGUCCUAAGGUAGCGAAAUUCCUUGUCGGGUAAGUUCCGACCUGCACGAAUCGUGCAACGAGUUGGGCGCUGUCUCGACCAGGUGCUCAGUGAAAUUGUAGUUCCGGUGAAGAUGCCGGACACCCGCAGAAGGACGGAAAGACCCUAUAGACCUUAACUGUAAGCUGUUAUUGGUUGUUCGAUCUUAAUGCUCAGCAUAAGUGGGAGACAUUGAAGGGUGCGUUUAGGCGCAUCUGGAGUCAUCAGUGAGAUACCACCCUUUAAUAUUGGAUAAUCUAACCCCGAGCCGUCAUCCGGCCGUGGGGACAAUGGCAGCCGGUCAGUUUUACUGGGGCGGUAUCCUCCUAAAGAGUAACGGAGGAGCGCGAAGGUGGGCUCAGCACAGUUGGCAACUGUGUGUUGAGUGUAAAGGCACAAGCCCGCCUAACUGUGAGACCUACAAGUCGAGCAGAUACGAAAGUAGGCCUUAGUGAUCCGGCGGUAGAAUGUGGAAUUGCCGUCGCUCAACGGAUAAAAGGUACCUUAGGGAUAACAGGCUUAUCACGCCCAAGAGUUCAUAUCGACGGCGUGGUUUGGCACCUCGAUGUCGGCUCAUCGCAUCCUGGGGCUGGAGAAGGUCCCAAGGGUUUGGCUGUUCGCCAAUUAAAGCGGUACGCGAGCUGGGUUUAGACCGUCGUGAGACAGGUCGGUCCCUAUCUGUCGUGGGUGUACGAGAUUUGAGGAGAUCUUCCCCUAGUACGAGAGGAUUGGGGAGGACGGACCUCUGGUGUUCCUGUUGUCGUGUCAACGGCAUCGCAGGGUAGCUACGUCCGGGAAGGAUAAGCGCUGAAGGCAUAUAAGCGCGAAGCCCCCUUCAAAACUAGAUCUCGCAUGAGACUCCUGGAAGACCACCAGGUUGAUAGGCCGGGUGUGUAAGCACAGCAAUGUGUUCAGCUGACCGGUACUAAUAAGUCGAUCGGCUUGACCGCU